rnacentral:rRNA from 1 species
CGGGUAAAGCGCGCGUAGGUGGUUCGUUAAGUUGGAUGUGAAAUCCCCGGGCUCAACCUGGGAACUGCAUCCAAAACUGUCAAAACUUGAGUGCAGAAGGGGAGAGUGGAAUUCCAUGUGUAGCGGUGAAAUGCGUAGAUAUAUGGAGGAACACCGGUGGCGAAAGCGGCUCUCUGGUCUGUAACUGACGCUGAGGCUCGAAAGCGUGGGGAGCGAACAGGAUUAGAUACCCUGGUAGUCCACGCCGUAAACGAUGAGUGCUAGGUGUUGGAUCCUUUCCGGGAUUCAGUGCCGCAGCUAACGCAUUAAGCACUUCGCCUGGGGAGUACGACCGCAAGGUUGAAACUCAAAGGAAUUGACGGGGGCCCGCACAAGCGGUGGAGCAUGUGGUUUAAUUCGAGGCAACGCGAAGAACCUUACCAGGUCUUGACAUCCCGAUGCUAUUUCUAGAGAUAGAAAGUUACUUCGGUACAUCGGUGACAGGUGGUGCAUGGUUGUCGUCAGCUCGUGUCGUGAGAUGUUGGGUUAAGUCCCGCAACGAG